rnacentral:rRNA from 1 species
AAGGAAUAUUGGACAAUGGACGGAAGUCUGAUCCAGCCAUGCCGCGUGAAGGAAGAAGGCGCUCAGCGUUGUAAACUUCUUUUGGACGGGGACAAACCUGUGGAUUCAUCCGCAGCUGAGGGUACCGUCAGAAUAAGCACCGGCUAACUCCGUGCCAGCAGCCGCGGUAAUACGGAGGGUGCAAGCGUUAUCCGGAAUCACUGGGUUUAAAGGGUGCGUAGGCGGUCUGGUAAGUCAGUCGUGAAAUCGCCGGGCUUAACCCGUGCAACUGCGAUUGAUACUGCCGGACUUGAAUGAGGUUGAGGUAGGCGGAAUGUGGCAUGUAGCGGUGAAAUGCUUAGAUAUGCCAUAGAACACCGAUUGCGAAGGCAGCUUGCUGGGCCUUCAUUGACGCUGAGGCACGAAAGCGUGGGGAGCAAAC